CGAAGGGGCUAGCGUUGUUCGGAAUGACUGGGCGUAAAGGGCGCGUAGGCGGCCGAGUAAGUCAGGCGUGAAAGCCCCGGGCUCAACCUGGGAACGGCGCUUGAUACUGUUUGGCUUGAGGACGGGAGAGGAUGGUGGAAUUCCCAGUGUAGAGGUGAAAUUCGUAGAUAUUGGGAAGAACACCGGUGGCGAAGGCGGCCAUCUGGACCGUUUCUGACGCUGAGGCGCGAAAGCGUGGGGAGCAAACAGGAUUAGAUACCCUGGUAGUCCACGCUGUAAACGAUGUGUGCUAGACGUUGGGGGUUAAGCCUCCGGUGUCGCAGCCAACGCGUUAAGCACACCGCCUGGGGAGUACGGCCGCAAGGUUA
rnacentral:rRNA from 1 species